rnacentral:tRNA from 1 species
GCGCUCGUAGCUCAGCUGGAUAGAGUACCUGGCUACGAACCAGGCGGUCAGAGGUUCGAAUCCCUCCUUCACCGCC